UUCAGGCUACUGAUAUCAUGGUUUUGUCUUCAUACAGCUGAAUCGAUCCGCUUCUUCAAUUAAGGCGGCAGCAGAGUUAGUGAUAGACAAUCAUGUGAUGCGUUUUAAAGGACAGGCUUCACAGACAAAGCUUGGAUUCAAGCAGGCGUUGGAGCUUUACCACUCUUUACCUCAGGUACAAAUGAAAUUCUCAAGCAUUAAUACUGUAAUUGAAGUCAUGUAGAUGAAAUGAAAACUCUAUCAUAUCAAUAUUUGUGAUUAACAGCACUCUUUCUCUUUCUUGAUCUUUAUUUCUGUUUCUGUGCAGCUGAUGUCAGUUCCCAGUAGUCUUGUAGUACAGACAGGGUAUGCUGGGCACAACGGAUCACAUGUCCUCACACACCACACACAGUGGAGGGAUGAAAACGCAGCUGCACCUAAGGGGUUACAACAAUGGAAAUCGAGACAGAUAGUUGAUUUUGGGCCUGAGUCUCGGGGAUGGGAGCUGGAAGUGAGGCUUGAAAAUGAAACUCAGAGCAAACGUGGAAAUGUUCUCAUUGACUGGAAUCUGAUCGGAGUACAGGAGCAGAUACAAGCUACAGGUUCUUGGAACUCUGCAGGAAGACAAACUGAGGCCAUGGUCCAGCUCAAACAACCUUUUACAUCCACUCUCUCCCACUUGAAAGUGCGAGUGCUCUCACAUGACCACGCACAAGGACAUGGCAGGAACAAUCAGGUACACGUUUUACACACACAUACACAUACACAUAUCCUGCUCAGGUUGAUAUUCACACAAACAUUGGAUGAGAAAUAUAUCAUUCUGUCAAUAGGUCCAUCUGUCCUGGGACUACGGGACGCCUGUGAAUGUCUCUGUGACAGUCAGUAACCGGAGCCAUGCUGAGGACUACAGCAUGACGCAGGCUUGUGUUUUUGUGUCACCUGGACAGGUAAAUCAUGCUUCCUUUUGCAAAACCGUAAAAAUAAAACAUUAUUACAGAUCAGUUUUUAAGUCUUACUGUCCAGCAGAGGGUGCUGAUUUAGUGCAUUAGGUGCAC